GGGAUACACAGGGGAGUUGAUUUUUUAUAAGCACAUGAAACAGACAGUAGAUUUCACACUUUUCAGGACCAUAGUGUUUGUCAUGCUUUAGUUAUAUGUGAGUGAAGUGGCAGAGGAGGUCAUGAGGCAGUUGGAUUCUGACUGUACUGGAACUGACCUUAAAUGAGUAGAGAACAUUCUUGGCCAGAACGUGGCACUGUGUAGAGGCAGCCCCAACACUACCUCUUAAUUGGUUUAUUACAUGUAACUUUCCAUAUUUUCCCUCCCUUUUAAAGUCAGCAGUAUUUUCGUUUUAAAUGUCAUCUUAGAGCCGCUCUACAAAAUGUUCCAACAGACACCACUAAAACUAGACCAUUCCGAAUUCAUGUUCUUUCGAGUUUUAUCCAUUAUCCUUAAAAGUAAGUGCUGUUACACCCAC
rnacentral:lncRNA from 1 species